UUUCCUUAGGUGAACCUGCGGAAGGAUCAUUACCGAGUUUUGAAAGGAGGACUUGAGCUGGCCUCUCGGGGCAAGUGCUCGUUCCUCUGCUCAAUCAAUCUACCCCUGUGCACCUAUUGUGGGUACUAUGUCGCGGAAGGGGGGCUGGCUAACGGCCUUUUGGAUGCGCAUAUACUCAUGUUUUACACACUACGCAUGUCCUAGAAUGUCUUUUUUUGCGAUAAUCGCAUGUAAUACAACUUUCAACAACGGAUCUCUUGGCUCUCGCAUCGAUGAAGAACGCAGC
rnacentral:misc_RNA from 1 species